CCUACGGGUGGCUGCAGUGAGGAAUAUUGGUCAAUGGACGAGAGUCUGAACCAGCCAAGUAGCGUGCAGGAUGACUGCCCUAUGAGUUGUAAACUUCUUUUAUAUGGGAAUAAACUGUUCCACGUGUGGGAUUUUGUAUGUACCAUAUGAAUAAGGAUCGGCUAACUCCGUGCCAGCAGCCGCGGUAAUACGGAGGAUCCGAGCGUUAUCCGGAUUUAUUGGGUUUAAAGGGAGCGUAGGUGGAUUGUUAAGUCAGUUGUGAAAGUUUGAGGCUCAACCGUAAAAUUGCAGUUGAUACUGGCAGUCUUGAGUACAGUAGAGGUGGGCGGAAUUCGUGGUGUAGCGGUGAAAUGCUUAGAGAUCACGAAGAACGCCGAUUGCGAAGGCAGUUCACUGGACUGCAACUGACACUGAGGCUCGAAAGUGUGGGUAUCAAACAGGAUUAGAUACCCCAGUAGUC
rnacentral:rRNA from 1 species